rnacentral:ribozyme from 1 species
CGCAGAGUGACCCCGCGCGGGCGCGCGGGGCGUAAUGCGGCAUGUCGGUCACAAGCCCGA